rnacentral:misc_RNA from 1 species
UUUCCAAGUCGAGAUUGUGUUACAUAUCAUAAGAACAGAUCAAAUGCCAUCAUUAAAAAUGAAGACCCAACCAAGCAUGGAUUCUUUAAGAGGAAAAAGUUGUCUGAGUGUGUGUCAAAAGUCUAAUACGAUAUCCAAAAAAUCAGGUUCUCAUGUCACAGUUUCUCAACAGAUAGCAGAAUGUGAUGCUUAUGUUCAGAAAUGUCAGAAUGGAUACGGUAUAGAAACAUACACCCCGGAUAUUGAGUGUGAUGAAGCUAUUGACCAGCGAGAAUUUUUGAAUGAAGAAAAUUCUCAGUUUCAAAAGCAUUCAUCAACUUUUGCAGAUUCAGGCAUUGUGGGAAGAAUGGAAUCAACCCUUAACUGUACAUCAAACUUGGAAACAAUUUUUUCUCCUGCUCUGGAGCCUGUUGAAAUUCACAGUGUGCCAAAUAUUGAUGAUGAUGCAGUAGGGAGCGACAAAGAUCUUAAUGUGCCAGGGUCGGGUGCUGAUGACAGUGAUGAUAACAGAAGCUCAUGUGACUAUCAAACAUGCAAUGUCUCAGAUUUCUUUAUUUCUGACAUGAUUGUUACUGGCUUACCAUUCGAUGGGAGCACAGUUGAUGAUGAUAUAACUGAGACCAAUCCUUUUCCUGAGUAUAAAUGUGCUGAGUCUAGUGUGUUGUUUGACAUGGCUGGGGAAUGUGUGAUGCUACCUUUUCUUGAAGACACUGCCAAAGGCAGCAAUUCCAGUGAUAUGAUAUCUUGUGAAGAGGUAGAUCAAGAUAAUGCUAGCUUCUACCUAGCAAUUAAUCAGAUACGAUCGUGCAACCAGGAAUCUGAUCUUAACAUUGAAUCAGACCAAGUAGAGGACUUUGAUCCUCAGUUCUUUAUCAAAAA